GAUGAACGCUGGCGGCGUGCUUAACACAUGCAAGUCGAACGGAAAGACGAGGAUCUUGCUGCUCUCACGUUAGCGGCGGGCGGGUGAGACACACGAGUAUACCCCCCCUAUCUGACUGGGAUAACCACGGGAAACCGGAUAAAACACCGGAUAAGCUCCUGAACCGUGGGGUUCGAUAGUGAUAGUCGGCUUUGCUGGAACGACUCGAUGGUUACCAGCUGUAUUGGCUAGUUGGUAGGGUAACGGCUUACCACGGCGACGAUGCGUGGCCGAACUGAGAGAGGGAUCGGCCACACUAGAACUGAGACACGGACCAGACUCCUACGGGAGGCAGCAGUAGGGAAUCUUCGGCAAUGGGCGAAAGCCUGACGGAACGACGCCGCGUGAGUGAUGAAGGUCUUCGGUUCGGAAAACUCUGUUAUUGGGGAAGAACAGAUGUGGAAGGAGAUAUAGACGUCGUGACGGUACCUGAUCAAGAAGCAACGGCUAACUACGUG
rnacentral:rRNA from 1 species